rnacentral:tRNA from 3 species
CGGGACUGACGGGGCUCGAACCCGCAGC